AAAAUGACAAACCCUGAUUUCCGUGCCCAACGUUUGACCGUCCGUCUUAUUUGAAAAAUUAUGAAAAAAAAUAAAAGACAAGUCACGCACAAAGUAUUAAUCAUGUUUUAUCAUCUAACUACAAUAAAAAUAUGAAUUAUAAAAAAAUUUCAUAUAAGACGGACAGUCAAAGUUGAACACGAAAACCUAGGAUUUGCCUUUUU
rnacentral:pre_miRNA from 1 species